rnacentral:misc_RNA from 1 species
UUGUGGAGAAGGACGCCGAAGGUGGGGCUGAUGACUGGGGUGAAGUCGUAACAAGGUAGCCGUACCGGAAGGUGCGGCUGGAUCACCUCCUAACAGGGAGACAAUAAAUAGAUUGAGAUGUCUAAGUUUUUUCUCUUAGGCCUUAAUCCUGUCACCUUAGGUCGAUCGGUACCUCAGAUUGAUUAAUUAAUUUUAUUUUUAAGAAAUUGAUUUCAGUUCCUAAACUUGUCUAGGUCACACCCAACAUUGGUUUCUCCUGGGCCAUUAGCUCAGGUGGUUAGAGCGCACCCCUGAUAAGGGUGAGGUCCCUGGUUCAAGUCCAGGAUGGCCCAUUCGUUGUUGGGGGUAUAGCUCAGUUGGUAGAGCGCCUGCUUUGCAAGCAGGAUGUCAGCGGUUCGAGUCCGCUUACCUCCACUGAUAACUACCUUAAUAAUCCAAUUUUGGAGAAAUUUUUGUAACUGUGACUUAGAUAUUGUCUAUAUGAAUAGAACCUAGCUUCUUAUCAUCUUUAAUAGUUGGUAUGAUGCUGGGCUCACUUGGAUUUUUUUAAGUGAUUUCAGUAGAACCUUGACAACUGCAUAGGUAGAAAGAAUAAAGCAUCUCAUGGAUGCAUAAUUCUUUAAUCAAAUUAAUUUAAUUUGAAAUUUUUUUGAUUUAAGAAUUCAUGGUUAAUUCUUGAGUAAAAGCCGAGCACAAUUAAUCUUGUGAUUGUAUUUAAGGUCAAGCUACAA